CUUCCUUUUUACCUAUGAUCUCAAAUCCCUAUUUCAGAAAUUGUUGGUGCCUUUCUUCCCCGUUCUUUUCUUCAUUCUAGGAAUUGCUUUUUUUUUUCCUCAAAGGAAAUUUAGUUCGUGUGCAAAAGAAGUGAAUUUCUUGAGGAUUUGAUUCGCUCAUCGUCUUCAUCUUUAGUCAGAUUAAAAGACUGUUUGAAGAUCGAAAUCUCCGAUCCUAAUAUUCACGCAACAAAUUGUAUCCUUGUGACAGAUGCUUUUGGUUUGUUAUUACACUUUUUGUCAAAUCAAAAGGAAUGCCUUUUGAAUAUAUACAACCAUGAUAAUGUAUGUUCUCGCGUUAGAAUAUUCCUUUUCCUUUACAAGUCAACAUACUUUCAUGUUUAUAGUUUACUUUAUACUUAAUAUUUGUUCAAAUGUGUAUCCAAAUAACAUAGUGUAUAUUGAACAUCUUGAUGGCAGUUCUGAUGGAGAAUCAUGCAGUAACGAAGGAAAAAAAAAAAUGAAACCCAAAAAAAAUAGUACGAACAAAAAAGAAAGAAUAUGACUGAAGAAGACAAAGAGGAGUCGAGAAAAAGGAAAAAAAAAAAAAAGUAUAUGCUACAAUGAGGAAGUUAUGUUCUGUUGUGGAAAAAAAACAUGGCUGAAAUUUCUUAUGAUUCAACUAUAAGGAGUCUUACUGAUCUAAAUGAUGGUGAUAAACCACAAUAUGUACAGUUUUAAAGUAUCACUAAUUAGUGUUGAUUAUGUGUACAAUUUUUAAAUUUUUUUUAAUCUAAUUUUCCCUUUGCCUUUAUGUGGAGAGGUGGAACUAUUAGACAGAAACAACAGGACAAACACAAAGCAAUUUGACGGUCUGAACUUUGAAAUUGGUGAAACAUCAGAGCGAAUAAAUCAAACAAAAGAACAUGAUGGAUUUCAAAGUUCAACAACAAAAGAAAUACACGCCAAAUUUGGAGCUGCAAAUAUUCAAGAAAUUUAUUUCAUCAACCAAGAACCAAAACCUAUGUUACCAACAAUGUGAAACCAGUUCGUCACAAAUGAAAGGGCGAAUAUUUUCAGUAUUAUUGCAACAAGGCCUGUAAUUGCAGGUGUUCGACUGAGAGCAUCUGCAUAUACCGGUUUGUAAUUAGCAACAAAUCUCACAAGUACUUUUUUCAUCAAUCCAAGUAUACCCGAAGCUAUUGAGCUGCAGCCUUGGUCUAUGAAUAACGAAGAUUAUCCCACAAGACUAACCGCCGACACUUCAAAUUUGACAUCUUCUUCAAGACCUUCAACAGAUACGAUCACUAAAAUUGAUACCAUAAAAAAUAACCCAACAAAUGUAUCAAAUUUCUGGCUAAAAGCAAAUGCGAUAGUUACGAAUUUUCAACAAAACUUCUGUUAUCUAGCACGCCCACAAUGUUACAAAUCUACAAGCACAGCUCUUGAUCAAUUAUACAUGUUCUCGUUGUGAUCGUAACGUCAGAGCAACUCCAAGAUGUCUUGUAGAAGGUCAUCUUCGUGACUCCUCUGAAAUAUUACCAGGAACCUUCUUUGCUGAAAAUGCAGAACAAAUACUUAUUUGUAUAGCUAGAGAAAUCAUCCAGAGUACCAAAGAGGGAUUCUCAGCGACCAAGCUGGAUUGGAUUUGAGAGAUUAGAAGGUACCUUUUUGGGGACGUUGUAAUCGACGAUGA